AGUCGGCGGAUCAGGAAGUCAGAGAAGAGAAUAUGACGCCAGACAAUAUUAAUAUAUGAAGGAAGACAAUACUAAGAAGAUUAUAAAAUAGUGCCAGACAGACAUCCAGGUAGACAUGCAUAGGUUAGGAUAGGCCUUCUACAGAUAGGCCUAUCGAUAGCUUGAGAGAUGGAUAUAGCCUAGGUCUAUAUGCAGAGACAGAAGGAAAGAGGAAUGGAGAUAAAGGGGGAAAAAGAGAGAGCGAGAGAAAGAGCGAGAGGGACUUAAUUUCAUAACUCCAUUGUGCGCUGCCUAAAGGGUAUGUGGCUCUUAAUAGCGUGACAAACAAUGUAUGAAUAAUGUUUAAUAUAUGUAGGAAACAUGGACCUCAGUGAUUGAUUUUGCGUGUUUUUUUUAUAAUGUGCGGCGCCAAAUCGCAAACAGUGGCCAAAUUUCGCAAAACACAAGAGCAAGUCCUUGUUCUCCACGUAACAUUUGCGGACCAUGCAUAGCCUACUUGUUGAAAGCCGUACAGCGUCGGCAGUGUCCCAAAGCUGUCAAAUACUGCGCACAGCCUGCUGUCUCCGGUCAGGCAAAACCUACCAGCGUCCACCAGCGACCCGAACAACUUGGAGGAUUAAACCAUUUUAGAUAACUAAUUUCGCAUCCAGACCCGGAAGCUUGGAGAAAAAAAAAAUAGAUGUGGUUUGUCACAUGGCUGAAGAUAUUUCAAUAACAACAAAAAAUGGCGACAAUCACGUUGCUCCGUAUGUUCUUGCUGCGUCAUUAAAAAUAUUCAUGUAAACAAGGGAAUUAAGAAGGAUAUUUUGAGGUAAGAAGAGUCGAUCUUUAUUCCCCAUUUGUUAGCUACGCAAAGGAAUUGAAUACGUAUUGAUAUUUUUUGGGACCAUUGCACAACGUCACAUUUGUUUGUUUUUUACCUAGAAGGGGGUGUGUAUAACUCGGGGCGUUAACGUAUGGCUGCACAAUAACAUUUGAUACGAUAAGAUUGCAUUGGAUGAGGCGUUUAAAUUGGUUUUAACGUAGGCCUACGUCCUUUAAAACCUCAGCGUCUAUUGCAGCGACAAUUUGGAUUCAACGUUUUUGUUUUCCCAACUUUUGGUUGAUAAUAGCCUAAUAGGUAACUAGCAGUGACACGCAUGCUUAUUAUAUGGUUCUUUCUUAUGAGUCUUUUGUGCAUGUAGACUAUAUGAUUAUGCUCCCUCGAUUGGGCUGUAGGGUAAUGUCUUGUCUCGCUAUCACUACAGGGCAUUCUCGGUAAUUAAAAAACUGGCAAUCGUGCAAUGUAGGAUUUUUGUUACGGGAAUGACCGCGAAGAUUAUGUUAUUUUGAAUCUAACCAUAUAUGUCUUGCUCGUAAUAAUAGGUUACAUUAAACGUUUUUUGCAAGUGACUCGUCUGUUUUGUCUGAGACAGCUAAUGGAGUUGUUUACAUGAAAAGGCGGGGAGGAGUCGACGCGCGAUGAGAAUGGACUGCUUGGUUGGGCGGAGUCCUGAAAAGUAUCACAACAAGUCUGACGUCACUCGUCCUUGUGUGUGGAGUGUGGUGGAGAGUCGGUGGACGGCCAGAUUUGCCAGGCUGCCCUGGUUCAGUUAUCACAGUGCUGAUGCUGUGCCCAUGGAAGGUACAGUACUGUGAUAACUGAAUGAUGGUGGCCACCUUGACACUGGAUCAUUGGAAGCAAAGGACAUCCAGACUCCAAUUUAGUAAGGAUGAUGUCUUGAUGAAAGGCCUUAGCAUAUUGCAAUGGAUUGUUUACCAUAAAACGUAGCAUAUGGUUAAGAAAUCAGUUGAGGUAAAAAAAAAGAUUGAUCUUGCUACCGUAUUCUGUCUCAUGGAGAGAUGUUAUGCAUGCUGAUGUACAAAUAAAAUCAUGGCCACAUAUUGCCACAUAAGAUUUCAUAUUGCAUAGGUUUUCUGCAUAGGUUUUCAAUAAAUGAAUCCAACACUU